rnacentral:rRNA from 1 species
AGUGAACGCUGGCGGUAGGCCUAACACAUGCAAGUCGAACGGCAGCACAGUAAGAGCUUGCUCUUACGGGUGGCGAGUGGCGGACGGGUGAGGAAUACAUCGGAAUCUACUUUUUCGUGGGGGAUAACGUAGGGAAACUUACGCUAAUACCGCAUACGACCUACGGGUGAAAGCAGGGGUUCUUCGGACCUUGCGCGAUUGCAUGAGCCGAUGUCGGAUUAGCUAGUUGGCGGGGUAAAGGCCCACCAAGGCGACGAUCCGUAGCUGGUCGGAGAGGAUGAUCAGCCACACUGGAACGGAGACACGGUCCAGACUCCUACGGGAGGCAGCAGUGGGGAAUAUUGGACAAAGGGCGCAAGCCUGAUCCAGCCAUACCGCGUGGGUGAAGAAGGCCUUCGGGUUGUAAAGCCCUUUUGUUGGGAAAGAAAAGCAGCAGGUUAAAACCCCGCUGUUCUGACGGUACCCAAAGAAUAAGCACCGGCUAACUUCGUG